rnacentral:misc_RNA from 1 species
UCUUCGUAGGUGAACCUGCGAAGGGAUCAUUACCGAGUGAGGGCCCCUGGCCCGACCUCCAACCCUUUGUUGAACUUCCGCGUUGCCUCGGGGGCGACCCGGCCCUCCUGGGCGUCGGGGCCCCCGGUGGUCCAUCUCAACCCUGCAUCUGUGUGUCUGAGUAAAUAUUUGAAUCAAUCAAAACUUUCAACAACGGAUCUCUUGGUUCUGGCAUCGAUGAAGAACGCAGC